rnacentral:lncRNA from 1 species
UGCAAGGCUAUGUCACGGACUGGAACAGCUACAGUGAUGACACACCUGAGGUGAACACAACUCCAGCAGCAUCCUGGCCUCUCAUGGGGCAAGUGCAUGUGGAAUCUAGAAACUUCACAGCUGAGCCUGCAAAGGUGCUCAUGGCAUGCAGAAGUGUUUCUGGAUCCAGUGGUAGGAAGUCAUUUCAAGCAGCUUGUGAACAUUCACAGAAGCAGCUCAGGAUCAUCCUGCUGCUUCUGAGAGCAGGUGUCGGGCCCCAGGCUGGAGGCCACGUGCCAGGCUGGCAGGAUUUGUCCACUGUGAAGCUCGACGCCCCCGCAGGCCCUGUGCUGCCCGCCCGGAUCCCCCUGCCUCAGGAUGCCCUCCACACCCUCCGAAUUCCCAGCCGCUGCUCUGGGGCCUGCACAGAGGGCUUGGGCCCAGCACCUGGAAACUCCAAAGAGGCAAACGGGUUCAUGUCCAGGUUUUGUCAGAUCGCUUCCGAGGCUGCCCUCUUCGCCGUGGCUGCUGAGUGCAGAGCUGGGCAUCUGAGUGGACAGAGUGGUGCUCCGCUUCCUUGCAUCUCCUGGGCCAUGCGUGGUGACCUGUGCCCACUGCAUCGCUCCUGUGUGCCCUGUGCAUGUGACCGUGUCUUUCCCGUGUAUUCAGUGCUGCUUCAUGUGUGAGUUUCUCUGUGUUCCAAACCCCAACUACAGUGAUUUUACAGAUGAACCUUAAUAGAUGUGAAAUCUAUAAG